UACGUAGGGUGCGAGCGUUGUCCGGAAUUAUUGGGCGUAAAGAGCGCGCAGGCGGUCGAGUAAGUCGAAUGUGAAAGCCCCCGGCUUAACUGGGGGAGGGUCAUUCGAUACUGUUCGACUUGAAGGCAGGAGAGGGCAGCAGAAUUCCCGGUGUAGUGGUGAAAUGCGUAGAUAUCGGGAGGAAUACCAGUGGCGAAGGCGGCUGCCUGGCCUGUUCUUGACGCUGAGGCGCGAAAGCUGGGGGAGCAAACGGG
rnacentral:rRNA from 1 species